AUUGAACGCUGGCGGCAUGCCUUACACAUGCAAGUCGAACGGCAGCGGACCUUCGGGUGCCGGCGAGUGGCGAACGGGUGAGUAAUGCAUCGGAACGUGCCAUUGAGUGGGGGAUAACGUAGCGAAAGUUGCGCUAAUACCGCAUAUUCUGUGAGCAGGAAAGCAGGGGGACCGCAAGGCCUUGCGCUCUUUGAGCGGCCGAUGUCAGAUUAGCUAGUUGGUGAGGUAACGGCUUACCAAGGCGACGAUCUGUAGCGGGUCUGAGAGGAUGAUCCGCCACACUGGAACUGAGACACGGUCCAGACUCCUACGGGAGGCAGCAGUGGGGAAUUUUGGGACAAUGGGGGCAACCCCGAUCCAGCCAUGCCGCGUGAGUGAGAAGGCCU
rnacentral:rRNA from 1 species